CAAUAGCGUAUAUUAAAGUUGUUGCGGUUAAAAAGCUCGUAGUUGGAUUUCUGUUGGGAACGGCCGGUCCGCCCACUGGGUGUGUAUCUGGCUUGUUCUCGGCAUCUUCUUGGUGAACGUUGCUGCACUUGACUGUGUGGAGCGCUACCCAGGACUUUUACUUUGAGGAAAUUAGAGUGUUUCAAGCAGGCAUAUGCCUUGAAUACAUUAGCAUGGAAUAAUAAGAUAGGACCUCGGUUCUACUUUGUUGGUUUCUAGAGCUGAGGUAAUGAUUAAUAGGGAUAGUUGGGGGCAUUUGUAUUUCGGUGCUAGAGGUGAAAUUCUUAGAUUACCGAAAGACAAACUGCUGCGAAAGCGUCUGCCAAGGAUGUUUUCAUUGA
rnacentral:rRNA from 1 species